UACGUAGGGGGCAAGCGUUGUCCGGAAUCAUUGGGCGUAAAGCGCGUGUAGGCGGCCCGGUAAGUCCGCUGUGAAAGUCGGGGGCUCAACCCUCGAAUGCCGGUGGAUACUGUCGGGCUAGAGUGCGGAAGAGGCGAGUGGAAUUCCUGGUGUAGCGGUGAAAUGCGCAGAUAUCAGGAGGAACACCAAUUGCGAAGGCAGCUCGCUGGGACGUGACUGGCGCUGAGACGCGAAAGCGUGGGGAGCAAACAGG
rnacentral:rRNA from 1 species